rnacentral:rRNA from 1 species
CUACGGGAGGCUGCAGUCGAGAAUUUUCGGCAAUGGACGCAAGUCUGACCGAGCAACGCCGCGUGUGCGAUGAAGGCCUUCGGGUUGUAAAGCACUGUCGAGGGGGAGAAAAACUGAUCGACCCCUGGAGGAAGGACGGGCUAAGUUCGUGCCAGCAGCCGCGGUAAGACGAACCGUCCAAACGUUAUUCGGAAUCACUGGGCUUAAAGGGCGCGUAGGCGGGUGGUCAAGUCAGGGGUGAAAUCCUCCAGCUUAACUGGAGAAGUGCCUCUGAUACUGGCUGUCUUGAGUGAGGUAGGGGCAUAUGGAACUUCCGGUGGAGCGGUGAAAUGCGUAGAUAUCGGAAGGAACGCCAGUGGCGAAAGCGAUAUGCUGGACCUUUUUCUGACGCUGAGGCGCGAAAGCUAGGGGAUCAAACGGGAUUAGAUACCCUGGUAGUC